rfam:Weissella oryzae SG25 DNA, scaffold: sequence01.
AGUAAUAUCUCGAUUCUACCUAAGACGCAGGUGGCUUUGCCUUAAUACCCCGCCGAGGAAGUUCAAACACUGAAAAGUGGCUUUUGAUCCCCGGUGCAGUUAUGUACUGGGGGUCUUUAGGUUUGAAU